GACGAACGCUGGCGGCGUGCUUAACACAUGCAAGUCGAACGGAAAGGCCCUGCUUUUGUGGCGUGCUCGAGUGGCGAACGGGUGAGUAACACGUGAGUAACCUGCCCUUGACUUUGGGAUAACUUCAGGAAACUGGGGCUAAUACCGGAUAGGAGCUCCUGCUGCAUGGUGGGGGUUGGAAAGUUUCGGCGGUUGGGGAUGGACUCGCGGCUUAUCAGCUUGUUGGUGGGGUAGUGGCUUACCAAGGCUUUGACGGGUAGCCGGCCUGAGAGGGUGACCGGCCACAUUGGGACUGAGAUACGGCCCAGACUCCUACGGGAGGCAGCAGUGGGGAAUAUUGCACAAUGGGCGGAAGCCUGAUGCAGCAACGCCGCGUGCGGAAUGACGGCCUUCGGGUUGUAAACCGCUUUCGCCUGUGACGAAGCGUGAGUGACGGUAAUGGGUAAAGAAGCACCGGCUAACUACGUG
rnacentral:rRNA from 1 species